rnacentral:rRNA from 1 species
GAGUAACGCGUGGGUAACCUGCCUUAUACGGGGGAUAACAGUCAGAAAGUGGCUGCUAAUACCGCAUAAGCGCACAGAGCUGCAGUGGCUCAGUGUGAAAAACUCCGGUGGUAUAAGAUGGACCCGCGUCUGAUUAGCUGGGUUGGUGAGGUAACGGCCCACCAAGGCGACGAUCAGUAGCCGACCUGAGAGGGUGACCGGCCACAUUGGGACUGAGACACGGCCCAAACUCCUACGGGAGGCAGCAUG